UGGUAUUUCAGGAUGUUCUCAUUUGCAAAUGACAUUUUGCUGUUGCCAGAAUACUUGUAUUUUCUCCUUGAUACCUUUGCUUUCCUUACCAGCUUGACAGCUUCCUUGGCACCUAAAUACUGAUUACAUAUGUGCUAUGAAAGGGCUUCUGUUUCUAUUUAGACUGCAGAAAAAAAAAUCUUAAAAAGAGGAAUUAAAAAAUAAAAAAAAAUCAAUAUUGCUGGUGAAAUAAUAAUUACAUAAUAUUUCUUACUUGAAAAUAAUUUUAAGAUCAGGAUGAAUUAAUUUGGCAUUACUUCUAUCUGCUUUCUGUCCUGGCACGUAAAGACUUUAGGUUGAUUACUUUAAUACCACACAUUUCCACUUCUCCCUGGUGACCUCUAUAUGUGUGGUUUGCUGCAACUCAAAGCCCACCAUGGAAGAUACAUUUCUCAAUUUGUGCAGUAUAUCCUACUAAGCAUUGACGACUUGCUGCUGUUAUAAAAGAAACAAGGCUAUUCUUACAAAAUCAAACUAAGCUUGAAAAUCAUCUGUUCACAGGAUGACAAAGAACUGGAAGAUUGUCAGAGCCAGUGUGGUAUCACAGCAACCUGGAAUGUUGACCAGAAGGGCAGUGCCAGCCAGAGAUCGCAGCCAAGUACCCCAGUGACCAAGGUCUGUGGCGGACAACAGCAGAAAAUACGGAUGAAUGGCGGCUACUCCUCCUCAGUCUCAUACUCACAAAGGGAAAUAAGGACACAGCAGAGUGGCGAGACGCUCCUGUCAGCACCCGCAUUUGGCUCCCAAUGAGAGGGAUGUGCCCUACAGAACAGGUGCCGGCACCACACAGUAUGACUGCAGUGGCCGUGUCAACGCGGUGCUGCUGACACAGUGAGCCCAGAAUGGCCAAGGAAACCAUUUGCAGACCAGGAACCCGGUGAGCGGGGCUGUGCAGGGGAGGGCAGAGCAAGGAAG
ensembl:lncRNA